rnacentral:rRNA from 1 species
GAUGAACGCUAGCGGCAGGCUUAACACAUGCAAGUCGAGGGGCAGCAUAAUGGUAGCAAUACUAUUGAUGGCGACCGGCGGACGGGUGCGUAACGCGUAUGCAACCUACCCUUUACAGGGGGAUAACACUGAGAAAUCGGUACUAAUACCUCAUAAUAUUCUGGGAGGCAUCUUUCGGAGUUGAAAGCUUUGGUGGUAAAGGAUGGGCAUGCGUUGUAUUAGCUAGUUGGUAAGGUAACGGCUUACCAAGGCGACGAUACAUAGGGGGACUGAGAGGUUAACCCCCCACAUUGGUACUGAGACACGGACCAAACUCCUACGGGAGGCAGCAGUGAGGAAUAUUGGUCAAUGGACGGAAGUCUGAACCAGCCAUGCCGCGUGCAGGAAGACGGCUCUAUGAGUUGUAAACUGCUUUUGUACGAGGGUAAACGCAGAUACGUGUAUCUGCCUGAAAGUAUCGUACGAAUAAGGAUCGGCUAACUCCGUGCCAGCAGCCGCGGUAAUACGGGGGAUCCAAGCGUUAUCCGGAUUUAUUGGGUUUAAAGGGUGCGUAGGCGGUUUAGUAAGUCAGCGGUGAAAUUUUGGUGCUUAACACCAAACGUGCCGUUGAUACUGCUGGGCUAGAGAGUAGUUGCGGUAGGCGGAAUGUAUGGUGUAGCGGUGAAAUGCUUAGAGAUCAUACAGAACACCGAUUGCGAAGGCAGCUUACCAAACUAUAUCUGACGUUGAGGCACGAAAGCGUGGGGAGCAAAGAGGAUUAGAUACCCUGGUAGUCCACGCAGU